AAUGAACGCUGGCGGCAGGCCUAACACAUGCAAGUCGAGCGAAUGACGAGGAGCUUGCUCCUCUGAUUUAGCGGCGGACGGGUGAGUAACACGUGGGUAACCUGCCUGUAAGACGGGGAUAACUCCGGGAAACCGGAGCUAAUACCGGAUGAUAACGAGAAGCGCCUGCUUCUUUUUUGAAAGUCGGUUUCGGCUGACGCUUACAGAUGGGCCCGCGGCGCAUUAGCUAGUUGGUGAGGUAACGGCUCACCAAGGCGACGAUGCGUAGCCGACCUGGGAGGGUGAGCGGCCACACUGGGACUGAGACACGGCCCAGACUCCUACGGGAGGCAGCAGUAGCGAAUCUUCGGCAAUGGACGAAAGUCUGACCGAGCAACGCCGCGUGAGCGAUGAAGGCCUUCGGGUCGUAAAGCUCUGUUGUCAGAGAAGAACAAGUACCGGAGUAACUGCCGGUACCUUGACGGUACCUGACCAGAAAGCCACGGCUAACUACGUGCCAGCCGCCGCAGUAAGAC
rnacentral:rRNA from 1 species